UAAUGGCAGGUCAGCAUACUGCCGUGAAUACGUUCCCGGGCCUUGUACACACCGCCCGUCACACCAUGAGAGUUGGGGAUACCCGAAGCCUGUGAGCUAACUUUUAGAGGCAGCAGUCGAAGGUAGAAUCAAUGAUUGGGGUGAAGUCGUAACAAGGUAGC
rnacentral:rRNA from 1 species